rnacentral:sRNA from 1 species
GGGUUAGAUGGAGAAGGGGGGUUCAUUUCUUUCUGAUAGUGACGGCCUUGGUUCACAGGCUGAAAGAAACAAAACAUCUGUGAGGCGGAAACCCAUCAGCUUGGCGACCUUGGCACACACCCUCGCAUCAGUCCUCAUUUCUGAUGUUUUGAUAUCAACGGUUCUCAUUUUUUGAGAUCUUAUUUCUGAUAUUCCAUCUGCAGGAGAGAGCUGCGUCCCCUUCCCAGCGUAGGCAGAGGCUCUGGGAGACCCAGCAAUCCCAGGGUGGCAUAACCCACAGAACGCAGGCCACUUUAAAGGGUUCCGUAGCAUCUGUGAUGUAAACAGAGGCCUCCCUCACAUGAGAGCUCUCCGUGUGGAAUCUUUAGGCUGUUGCUGCUUCUGGAGACAGCAGAGGAAAACAAGGUCUCCUGCUGAAAGCACUGGCAAUGGCUAGAGGUGCAGCAAAACAUAUUUAUGUCUCAGGGCCAGUAAGUUGGCGAGGACCACUCUGUUGCCGUUAGCUUGGACUGUUCAUGUGAAUCUCAGGUCCCACCCCCAAAUGUAUACGAAAACUGUGAGCAUGGAUCAGAAUGAGCUGACAAAGUGGUGCUAGUAAAAAUGGGGACUCUCUAACCCCCCCCACAAUAAACCUUUCCUCAUUUCUUGAAACACAACUAAGAAACACACAAAAAACAAGACAGAAAAACAAAUGAAUGCCAAUAAUAAAACUUGAUUUUCUUCCUCUUUGAGGAGAAAGUUCGGACAGCUAAUACCAACUCCAUUUUGAGGAUAAUUCUAAAUGUUUUCCUAACGUGGCUAACAAUGACAAAAUUCUAACAUGGAAACCACAUUAUUUUGGCCUUCUUGUUUUACCACACGGUGGAACUUGGCAUGCAUUUGUGAAGUGCAUUCAGAACUCCUGCUCCCACAGGGGUUGCUAAGGCCCCUUCACCCUAGUGAGGAGAUGUGGUCCCAUGGUGCAGAGGUGCAGAGACCAAGCUAAGAUGUGUCAGUCACCCAUGUGAGAAUCAUGUCACUUAGCCUGGCUACCUGCGAUGCACCAUGCAUUUCGGUGCUCUCAGAUAAUUUGAGCGAGAGCUGCUUCUCUGGAUCAGCUUGCACUGGGAUAGGAAAUGUCCCAAUGAUGCCGUCGUUGGCAUCCACUGUGCGUCUGCAGCACUGAGGCCUCUGGUGAAUGGACUUCUGCUUAUUUAUCUCCACAUGCACUUCCAGAACUUUCUGGGUAGGUAUCACAGCUCCAUAACCGAGCAAAUGUCCACCCCUGAAUUUUAUAGCCAUUGGUUCUAUGUAAACUCAUUCCAAGCCCUUAUUCCAGAUGCUGUCUUUCCUUCCUUGGAAAGCUCUUUGCCCUGGGCACACUAGUUCUUCUCAGUGAUCCAAGGGGGAAGAAAGGCACAUCCAAUAAUGACUCACAAUAGUGUUUGGAAACAUUCAAUAACAGCUUUUCAGAGAAGGAAAAACUUCAUAUGCAGAGGUAUGUCUGCCUGAAGUCAAAUGUCAUCAAGUUGACUUUAUGGGGCUGAAGACCUGCUACCCCACCUGUGGUAUCUUGCAUUGAGAAACAGAAGCAGUGACAAGGUUGCACAUCCCUGCCCUUGCUCUUUACCUCAUACAACUGAGGAAGGAGUUUGUGGUGUACUCCUAAACCUUAUGUGAUCCUCCCUGCACCCAGAAGAAAGGAUCCCCCUUAUCUCAAGAAGGUGCAGGAACACAGGGGAGAGGCUGAUCAAAAGGCCUUGCUAAGCUCUCCUGGUAUCCUUCCAGUAGAUCAUAUCACCUUUAUUAAAUCAUAGUUCUCCAUGAAUUUCCACUCUGUCUAAUCUAGCAUGACAAUAAGCAAGAGACCAUUUCUCUUGGAAAAUUCAAGUGUAAUCAUUUCUCUGGGUCUUCCUUUUUUUUCUUUUUGAGGGUUCUUGUGUCAUGAAACACGUAUGAAAUUUAUUUGUAGGCUUUAAAAAAGAAAUGAAUCUGUCUUCUAUUAUAAAUUCUCAGCCAUGGACCUAAGGUGGGUAGUGAAGGAGACAUUUUCCCUUUCCUGGGUUUCUCCUAUAGACAUAUCAAUAAGUUUGUUUUUUGGGUAGGUAACAUCCUGUGACGGUAUCUGUGAUGGUCAAAUAAAAUCAAGGUUUGAUUUUGGAAUUUAGCCUUACGUGCAGAAUACUCUAAGUAUUCUUAGAGUAUAAUGCAAAAGGCCAUUGCUCAUGCCCAGAAGUAACAACACCAACUCCAAUAGCAGCAGCAACUUACUGGUGUCUACGAACACCUACGAGGGCCACAGCAGUGACGCAUAUUUACCUCAGUUACCUCGUGCUAAUUCUCGAGAGGGAUGAUCUCAUUUGAGCCCCACUGCAAGCCUGUGAACUACAUAUGAUUAACUCAUUUAUUAGAAGAGGACAUUCUGCUACUAGUAUUAACCCAAGACCGUGCUUGCCAGGACACGGUGCAGCUAGGAUCUGUACCCAUUCGUGAGACUCCAUCUCGGCACUAGUUUGUUUGUAUUGUUUAAUGCAGCUUGGGAAUUCACGCAGAAUGUGGAAUGCAAUGUUUCUGAAUAACAACCUGGCAGGAUCCAUUCAGUAUACGGAAAGGAAAAAGGAAGCAGUCCCAAGAUACAUUUGUCUGAAGCAUACGAGACUGUCCGAUUUUUAUAAAUUAAGUUCACUUGAUUUGACACUCACAGCAUGUCGCUAUAUAUUUAAAGUUAACAUCAGUAAGAUUUUAAGCACACUGAUGAACGUGGGCCUGUUAUAUAUAGUUGAGUUAUAUCAGGCAACACACACUCGGAGAAUAAGGACCAUUCAUAUUGUGAGGUGACUUUUGUAGUCGCUAGCCAUAGAACAACUUGCACAUAACCAUAUUUUCUCCUGACAGCACAGAAAUGACCGUGACUCUAAUAUCAGUUUCCUCGUAUCAUUUCUCAGUUUCAUCUGAUUUUAUCUACAGUGCAGCACAAUCAAAACCCUACCUUCCUAGUUUACCCAGAUAACAAACAAGCCUGGCAUAUCCUGCAAGAGCUGAGGAACUAAUGAGUCUGUGGAUGAGAAGAAAUUAAGACCCAUUAGGGCCCCAGUCCGUGUGCACGGCCCCAGGAUGCCUGCUUAGCUCCAGGAGCCAUGAGAAGAGGAACUUGAAGAACUCCUGCCAGGUAGCAGGCUCCUAACAUGGAAAGGCCCUUUGGGGCUGGCUCAGCAGCUAAUGGUGCUUUCCACAGAGCCUGACAACUGGGCCCAGUCAAUCCCUGGGACUGCCAUGGUGGAAGAGAACUAAUUCAGCCAGGCUGUGCUCCAACAUCCAUGCCCGUGCCAUGGUGCGUACCCCUCACAGAUAGAUGAACGUAAAGGACUUCUUUAAUAAAAAGUUAGCCACCCUGUAAGGCAGAGGAGGCGGUGGAAACAACCAAACCCAGACAAAAUCCAAACAAACAAGUGGGUGUGUCCCAAAGGGAGAGGUCAAUGGAAGAGCAGGCAGGCUGGCAGAGAACAGGGACAGGGGACACUGUGGCUGGAGCGCAGUGUCAUUCGCCUGUGCACAUGCUGGAUGGGGUGGGGCAGGCAGCCAGGGUGAGUCUCAAGUUCUAUGUGAGCUGAGGGAGAGGGCCUGAAGAGAAGGGUAUCUGGCAUAAGGAGAGACGCUGCUCUCACCUCCACAGUCUGCCUCUUUCUCGAAUCUGAAAUGCCUUCCUCUGUUUUGUCUACAUGUAAACUUGCACUCCUUCAUGAGCUCUGACCUAAGUGAGGACGUCUGACAGCGUGCCUGGGACCUAGAGGCCAUGUUGAUAUGGAUUGCUCCUUCCUAUACCUUCCCACAGUUCUUUGUCUCACUGACACUCAUCAUCCUGAAUCGCAGAGCUUCUGUCGCUCUGUGAGCAUCCUAAGGUGGGGACAAGUUUUAUCCCUAACAUCCCUCCUAGUCCCCACCACAUUGUACUGAAUAGGUGCGGAAUGAGCGCAUGCGACACAGAUGACGAAGUCUGGGACGGGAGGUGGACAUUUACUCCUGCUCUGGGCACAGAGGAAGAUAUGGCCUUCACAGUGAGGCCUAGAGUAGUGCCACCGAAAAUCCUGGAGCUGUCUGGGUGUCAAUCCGGAGCAAGGUACACGGAUACCCUCACCGUGCAGGUACAGAGCUGGAACUGUAACUUGGAGGGAAUGGUGGAGAGAAGGGGGAAGUGAGGCUGGGGUAGGGUGGUCUCUCAGAGUGCAGGAAGCCCUCUGCCUCAGACUCCAGAGGCAAUGGGAGUCACUGCUUUAGGGAGAACGGAGCGUGUGUGAAUAUCCACAGAGACCAGAAGAGGAGGUUGGGUCCCCUAGAGCUGGAGUAACAGGCAGCUGUGGGCUGCCUGCUGUGGCUACAACAGACUGAAUUCUGGCCAUCUGACAACUAAGGAUUUUACUAAGUGCUUAUUAUGUUUCAAAUUCAGCAGCAGAUGUUUUACAAGGCGGUAGGCCACCGGGUGAGUGCUCCUAACCCUUAGAUCAGAGGCAAGGAGAUGAGGUAUGAGAAAAGCCAGACAAACAGCACCGCGCCAAGUCCCUCUUCUGACCUCCGAGGAUACCAGGAGUGCACAUGCAGGAUGCGGAGUUCAUUACGGAAUGCAAUUUCCCAUUUGUUGCUAGUUCCAGUGGUGGAGCAAACCGAACUUGAUGAAAUAAUAAACACGUCCCAUGAAUCUGAAGAAUAGGACAGCGAUGAGAACCCCGUAUCCAGGGCAACCAAGAGUUCAGACUUCUCAGUCCAUAAAUAAUCAUUCCCCGGCUUGCCCUCUGUACUCCUGGUCUCUGAGCCACUUUCUGACAAAAUGGGCUCCAUCCGGACGGAGGCUGCCACUCUUUCUCUAACUGGGGCUUAAAUGACUGCUGGGGAAUAUUCUAUAAAAAAGGCACCGUUUCACUUCUGUCUGCAACUGACUCUUGUAAUUUUUCUCUGGUGAGAGGAUGCUCUGUGGCCAGAGUCAUGGGGGCAUAGAUACCAUCUAGCACCAAGCUGCCUAGAAAGUUCUGGGUAUCCAUGGCUGCGUCUAAUGAGACCAGAUUGAGCAAGAGGAAGCUGGAGGCAGGGGAGACAGAGACAAAGGUCCCAAAGUGAGCACUGGUGGUAACUGUCCGCCUUUGAACCUCCUUAGAGACUUCUGGAUUCACUGUCCAUGAUGACUUGCAUGUUCUCUCAAGAGCACAGGAACCUUAUCUUCCAUUGGAUGCCUGUAGCACCCAUUUGACAAGCAACUCACAUAUUAAGAGUCAGGAAGACAGCCGGGCCACUUCUCAGGAACCGCAGUGUUCUCACAGGAAGUGGAAACGCUAGUGGCAGCUGGAAGGACUCAUGUAACUAACACAUUGGACUACACGCCAAGAGGCUGCCCAGACACACGAUGUCUACAAAACUGUUGGGGGGCCUGGAACAACUGGCAGAUAGCAAACAAUUACUUAUUAAAUAUGCAAAACUUAUCUUCUCUCUACUACAUUUGAACUUAACAUUAUGUAGGUUUAAAACGUAUCUUAAACAUUUUAAGGAUUUAUUGAUAUUUACUUAA